rnacentral:rRNA from 1 species
AGAGUUUGAUCCUGGCUCAGGAUGAACUCUGGCGGCGUGCCUAAUACAUGCAAGUCGAACGAAACUUCUUUAUCACCGAGUGCUUGCACUCACCGAUAAAGAGUUGAGUGGCGAACGGGUGAGUAACACGUGGGCAACCUGCCCAAAAGAGGGGGAUAACACUUGGAAACAGGUGCUAAUACCGCAUAACCAUAGUUACCGCAUGGUAACUAUGUAAAAGGUGGCUAUGCUACCGCUUUUGGAUGGGCCCGCGACGCAUUAGCUAGUUGGUGGGGUAAAGGCUUACCAAGGCAAUGAUGCGUAGCCGAACUGAGAGGUUGAUCGGCCACAUUGGGACUGAGACACGGCCCAGACUCCUGCGGGAGGCAGCAGUAGGGAAUUUUCGUCAAUGGGCGCAAGCCUGAACGAGCGAUGCCGCGUGAGUGAAGAAGGCCUUCGGGUCGUAAAGCUCUGUUGCGGGGGAAAAAAGGCAGCAUCAGGAAAUGGGUGCUGACUGAUGGUGCCCCGCCAGAAAGUCACGGCUAACUACGUGCCAGCAGCCGCGGUAAUACGUAGGUGGCGAGCGUUAUCCGGAAUGAUUGGGCGUAAAGGGUGCGCAGGCGGUCCUGCAAGUCUGGAGUGAAACGCAUGAGCUCAACUCAUGCAUGGCUUUGGAAACUGGAGGACUGGAGAGCAGGAGAGGGCGGUGGAAACUCCCAUGUGUAGCGGUAAAAUGCGUAGAUAUAGGGAAGAACACCAGUGGCGAAAGGCGGCCGCCUGGCCUGUUGCUGACGCUGAGGCACGAAAGCGUGGGGAGCAAAUAGGAUUAGAUACCCUAGUAGUCCACGCCGUAAACGAUGAGGACCAAGUGUUGGGGGUGAAACCUCAGUGCUGAAGUUAACGCAGUGAGUCCUCCGCCUGGGGAGUAUGCACGCAAGUGUGAAACUCAAAGGAAUUGACGGGGGCCCGCACAAGCGGUGGAGUAUGUGGUUUAAUUCGAAGCAACGCGAAGAACCUUACCAGGCCUUGACAUGGGAUGCGAAGAUGCAGAGAUGCAUCGGAGGUCAACAUCCACACAGGUGGUGCAUGGUUGUCGUCAGCUCGUGUCGUGAGAUGUUGGGUCAAGUCCCGCAACGAGCGCAACCCUUGUGGCAUGUUGCUAACAGGAAAAGCUGAGGACUCAUGCCAGACUGCCGGUGACAAACCGGAGGAAGGCGGGGAUGACGUCAAAUCAUCAUGCCCCUUAUGGCCUGGGCUACACACGUACUACAAUGGCGGCUACAAAGAGCAGCGAGACAGGGAUGUCGAGCGAAUCUCAUAAAAGCCGUCCCAGUUCGGAUUGGAGGCUGCAACCCGCCUCCAUGAAGUUGGAAUCGCUAGUAAUCGCGGAUCAGCAUGCCGCGGUGAAUACGUUCCCGGGCCUUGUACACACCGCCCGUCAA